GCUUUUUGCAAAUGUGAUUACAUUAAAGAUCUUAAGACGAAAUCAUCCUUAAUUAACCAAAUGAGCUCUAAAUCAAGUGACCAUGCAUUCUUAGAAGACACAGAAGAGGAGAAACCCUUAAAGACAGAGGAGAACGGCAAGUGAACAGCCAUAGGAGGAUGGAGGUGGAGUUUGGAGUGAUGCUUUCAUAAGCCAAACAGCUCCUGGAGUCACAGGAAUCAGGGAAGGACGCGGCAGGAUUCUUCCUCAAGGACUCCAAAAAGAACUACCCUGCCAACACCUUCAUUUCAGACUUCUGGCUCCAGAAUCGUGAGAAGUAAACUCUUAUUGCUUUUAGCCACCAGUCAAGGCCAUGUGUCCUGGCUGGCUCGCCACCUCAAGUGCCUGUGUUCUCUGCACAUUCUUAUCACUGCUGCUCCUUGUCAACACACGUCUCAUUCAUUCCCUUUGUGCUUACCAUAGUCUACCUCUGGGCCUAUAAACACCAGUAAGGUGAACUGGUGACUUUGAGGAGUUUACACUCUGGAAAUGGUUGGGGAAAGAGUGGAAUGUCUGGGGCAGGGCUUCUCAACCUCAGCACUGUGGACAUCUGAGAUGGAUACAUUGGUAUUGUUGGGGCUAUUCUGUGCAUUGUAGGAUGUUUAGUUGCAAUCUGGGCUCUAGUAAGGAUGCCUGUGGCAAGUCCACUAGAGGACAGUAGCACAUCUGCUCCCCUCCAUUAUGACAAGGAAACACGUACCAGACAUUGUCGAUGUGUAUCCCCUGGGGAAGGAGAACGGUGCCUGGUGUGAGCACCCUCUUGUUAGGGUCGUAAACAAGUCAAGAUAGCGCCUGGCACUUUGCCAGAGGGAGUGGUUUGAGAAGUAACGCCAGCAAGCCGUUAAGAUGACAGAUUCCUUAAUGACUGACUGCUGUGUCUAGAUUAUGUCAAUUACGUUAAGCUGUGUGUAAUCAUUAAGAUGAUGAUUCCUUAUUGGUUGACUGCUAUACCUAGUUUAUGUUAAUUAAAAACAAGCUGCGUAUUCAGUUAUGUAUAUAUACCCCUACUGUCCUACAAUAAAUGGCUCCCACUCCUGCUGUA
rnacentral:lncRNA from 1 species